CAAAGCGGACGGGAGUUGAGGGCUGGGUCUUUGCGGGCGAGAUGAGGGUGUCAGUUCAACUGGCCUACAAAGUCCCAGUCCUCGGCCCCCCCAGGACCGG
rnacentral:pre_miRNA from 10 species